rnacentral:rRNA from 1 species
UGGGGAAUAUUGCACAAUGGAGGGAACUCUGAUGCAGCGACGCCGCGCGAGUGAUGAAGGAAUUCGUUUCGUAAAACUCUGUUCUAUGGGAAGAAAAGGACUGUACCAUAGGAGAAAGCUCCGGCUAAAUACGUGCCAGCAGCCGCGGUAAUACGUAUGGAGCGAGCGUUGUCCGGAAUUAUUGGGCGUAAAGGGUGCGCAGGCGGCUUUACAAGUUGGAUGUGAAAUAUUGUGGCUCAACCACAAACGUGCAUCCAAAACUGCAAAGCUUGAGUUAAGGAGAGGUAAGUGGAAUUCCUGGUGUGGCGGUGGAAUGCGUAGAUAUCAGGAGAAAUACCGGUGGCGAAGGCGACUUACUGGACUUAAACUGACGCUCAGGCACGAAAGCGUGGGGAGCAAACAGG